GAAGUUAAACGGCCGCGGUAUCCUGACCGUGCAAAGGUAGCAUAAUCACUUGUUCCUUAAUUAGGGACUAGCAUGAAUGGCUAAACGAGGAUUCAACUGUCUCUUAUUCUCAAUCAGUGAAAUUGACCUUCCAGUGAAGAGGCUGGAAUAAAAAAAUAAGACGAGAAGACCCUAUGGAGCUUGAAUUAACUAGCUUAAUUAACAUAAUUUAACCUAAUGGAAUACAAAAAAAAAAUAAGCUAGCAAUUUCGGUUGGGGUGACCUCGGAGAAUAAAAAAUCCUCCGAAUGAUUUUAGCAUAGAUUAACAAGUCAAAGCAAUACUUAAAAUCUUAUUGACCCAAAUUUCUUUUGAUCAACGGACCAAGUUACCCUAGGGAUAACAGCGCAAUCCUAUUCAAGAGUUCAUAUCGACAAUUAGGGUUUACGACCUCGAUGUUGGAUCAGGACAUCCCAA
rnacentral:rRNA from 1 species